UGCUGGGGUUCUCCGUCUGCUCGGGCGCGCGGGUCACGUCGGUCGCCCAGGGAGCUUCACCAGGGCACGGUGUUGCAGGGUCGGACAUCAAUCGCGACGUCCCUAGCUCCCCGCCGGUGUCGGGGAUUGAACAUGUGCCGCUGCGAGCGAAUCAGUUGGCCGCUGUCAGGAAUCUUCAACCGCUUCAACGAUUUGGUGGUGCUCGGUGGUCGGGAAGCUUCUCUGGCUCACCCCUCACAUGUGUGUGGCCUUAUUGGACAAAGAUAGCCUUCCGAGCUCGACCAAUUGCUCAUCGGUGCAAUGGCUCCACCGCGGGCGGGACCACUGCUGCAGACCCAUUUCACUCCCUUGCCAUCACCGGUAAUAUGCAUGUCCUUGUGUUCGUCAUGUCCCUUAUUA
rnacentral:misc_RNA from 1 species